GACAGAGGUGCCGAGCGUUAGGCGGAAUCACUGGGCUUAAAGCGUGUGUAGGCGGACGCCUAAGUGUCUUGUGAAAUCCCACGGCUCACCCGUGGAACUGCUGGGCAUACUGGGCGUCUUGGGCCAACUAGGGGCAGCCGGAACAAGCGGUGGGAGCGGUGAAAUGCGUAGAUGAUCGGGAGGAACACCUGUGGCGAAAGCGGCGCACUGGACCAUAACUGACGCUGAGGCGCGAAAGCUAGGGGAGCAAACAGG
rnacentral:rRNA from 1 species